rnacentral:rRNA from 1 species
UACGGAGGGGGCUAGCGUUGUUCGGAAUUACUGGGCGUAAAGCGCACGUAGGCGGCUUUGUAAGUUAGAGGUGAAAGCCCAGGGCUCAACCCUGGAAUUGCCUUUAAGACUGCAUCGCUUGAAUCCGGGAGAGGUGAGUGGAAUUCCGAGUGUAGAGGUGAAAUUCGUAGAUAUUCGGAAGAACACCAGUGGCGAAGGCGGCUCACUGGACCGGUAUUGACGCUGAGGUGCGAAAGCGUGGGGAGCAAACAGG